GUUGUAGUGAUGGGAAGUUCGGAUCAUUUUACCGAAUCGGACUUUUGAGUCUCGUUCAGCAAAAUGAACGAAUCUUUUUUCGAGUCAUUUCAAAUGAACGAACAACCAGAAGGUUCAGGAAGAAAAAAACAAAGUGCUUGCAGUCUGUUUCACAUUAGGAGGCAUUUUGCUGCAUAAUCGAUCCACCACAAACCAUAUGCAACUAUGGAAGCUCAACUUCCAUUAAAUGGACUGAAAACGCUCAAGUAACGUUAUAGGAGACACUUUGACAAGUGGGCACUGGAUGCUGAGUAUUGAAGGCGAGGUGGUGUGUGAGGGCACUCAGCCCAGUUUCCUGUCCGGCCUUGCCACUCUGUUUGCUGCUUAUUACUAGUUUAAUCUUGAGUAUCAGGAGGAAGCAGUGUGUACCUUGGAGUUCAUUCAAAGGUGCUUUGUGGGCAUAAAUCCAGAGAGAGGACCCAAAGCCAAGGGAAAAGUGCCAUCGAAAUAAAAACAGGACAAGUGAUACAGAAGAAAAUGUGUGGCAGUCAACCCACAUGUUGCCACUCUUCUGUGCAAAUUCCAAUGGAAUUUCUGAAAUUCACACUUUGAAUCCUGGGAUGGAACUUCAUCUGGAGCAUAAUUGUUAUUUGGUUGAUUUUUAUCUGUUUGAUGGAAAGUUUGUAUGACUUCUGCAAGUGCGCGGCUCCUUCCGGUCAGUCAUGCAUCACUUUUUUUUGUAUGACUUGUUUGGCAAUAUUGGUCUAUUCCUUAAUGAUGAUAGCUAUCUGAAAAUGUCUUUGUGGUUUUUAAAGGAUUAGUUCACCCAAAAAUGAAAAUUAAGUCAAUAAUUACUUAUGUCGUUUCACACCCGUAAGAUCUUCGUUCAUCCUCACAACACAUAAUAAGAUGUGGCUCAGUGAAGCGUGCAUUUCUAGCAAGAUCAUUUCUUUUUUUCAAUGCCCAGAAAGCCUCUAAAACAUUUAAAACAAUUCAUGUGACUACAGUUGUUCAACCUAAAUAUUAUAAAGCGACGAGAAUACUUUUUUUGC